UACGUAGGGGGCGAGCGUUGUCCGGAUUUAUUGGGCGUAAAGAGCUCGUAGGCGGCUCGGUAAGUCGGAUGUGAAACCUCCAGGCUCAACCUGGAGACGCCAUCUGAUACUGCCGUGGCUUGAGUCCGGUAGAGGAGCAGGGAAUUCCUGGUGUAGCGGUGAAAUGCGCAGAUAUCAGGAGGAACACCAGCGGCGAAGGCGCUGCUCUGGGCCGGUACUGACGCUGAGGUGCGAAAGCGUGGGGAGCAAACAGG
rnacentral:rRNA from 1 species